CCGGCGAUAGCUCCGUUGGCAGAGCGGAGGACUGUAGAUGCGAUUAGCAGAGAUCCUUAGGUCGGUGGUUCAUAUCCGCCUCGCCGGA
rfam:Hymenolepis nana genome assembly, scaffold: HNAJ_contig0004482